rnacentral:rRNA from 1 species
GACAGAGGUUGCAAACGUUGUUCGGAAUUACUGGGCAUAAAGCGCACGUAGGCGGUCCGUUAAGUCAUGUGUGAAAUCCCCCGGCUCAACCGGGGAAUUGCGCCUGAUACUGGCGGGCUAGAGGUCGAUAGGGGUGAGCGGAACUCCAGGUGGAGCGGUGAAAUGCGUAGAUAUCUGGAGGAACACCGGUGGCGAAGGCGGCGAUCUGGCCCAACACUGACACUCAGACCCGAAAGUGCGGGGAUCAAACAGG